GACGAACGCUGGCGGCGUGCUUAAUACAUGCAAGUCGAACGGAAAGGCCCUGCUUUUGUGGGGUGCUCGAGUGGCGAACGGGUGAGUAACACGUGAGUAACCUGCCCUUGACUUUGGGAUAACUUCAGGAAACUGGGGCUAAUACCGGAUAGGAGCUCCUGCUGCAUGGUGGGGGUUGGAAAGUUUCGGCGGUUGGGGAUGGACUCGCGGCUUAUCAGCUUGUUGGUGGGGUAGUGGCUUACCAAGGCUUUGACGGGUAGCCGGCCUGAGAGGGUGACCGGCCACAUUGGGACUGAGAUACGGCCCAGACUCCUGCGGGAGGCAGCAGUGGGGAAUAUUGCACAAUGGGCGGAAGCCUGAUGCAGCAACGCCGCGUGCGGGAUGACGGCCUUCGGGUUGUAAACCGCUUUCGCCUGUGACGAAGCGUGAGUGACGGUAAUGGGUAAAGAAGCACCGGCUAACUACGUG
rnacentral:rRNA from 1 species